ACCUCUAGCAUUAAUAAUAUUAGAGGCACUGCCUGCCCAGUGACACAUGUUCAACGGCCGCGGUACCCUGACCGUGCAAAGGUAGCAUAAUCACUUGUUCCUUAAAUAGGGACUCGCAUGAAUGGCAACACGAGGGUUCAACUGUCUCUUACUUUUAACCAGUGAAAUUGACCUGCCCGUGAAGAGGCGGGCAUGACACAAUAAGACGAGAAGACCCUGUGGAGCUUUAAUUUACUAAUGCAACCAAAAAUUCAUAAAAAUCCACGGACUUAGCCCACUACUGGAUCUGCAUUAUUAAUUUUGGUUGGGGUGACCUCGGAGCAUAAUCAAACCUCCGAAUAGUCCAAGCCAAGACUAUACUAGUCAAAGCUAAUCAAUAUCUAUAAUUGAUCCAAUAAAUUGAUCAACGGAAAAAGUUACCCCAGGGAUAACAGCGCAAUCCUAUUCCAGAGUUCAUAUCGACAAUAGGGUUUACGACCUCGAUGUUGGAUCAGGACAUCCUAAUGGUGCAGCAGCUAUCAAG
rnacentral:rRNA from 1 species